UCACCGAAGUUAAGCAAUGUCGAGCCUAGUCAGUACCUAGGUGGGCGACCGCUUGGGAAUACCAGGUGCUGUAG
rnacentral:rRNA from 1 species